rnacentral:rRNA from 1 species
GGAAACCCAUGGGGUAUGGUAAUAGUGAAAAGGAUGAUUUGAUGCCUUUGGCGUCACUGAAAUGGACAAUCCGCAGCGAAGCCCCUGUUGCUUUAGCAAUAAAGCAUGGGGAACGUUCACAGACUAAGUGGAAAUGGGUGAAGCGUAUAGCUUUGCUUAAGAUAUAGUCGGGCCUCUUGGGAAACCAUGGGGAGAGGAUAGCCCAGCAAUUAUUUGUUGGCUGCCGUGCUUAACCGUUCCGUAGGUGAACCUGCGGAAGGAUCAUUA